CUACGGGAUGCAGCAGUGAGGAAUUUUGCGCAAUGGGGGAAACCCUGACGCAGCAACGCCGCGUGAGUGAAGAAGGCCUUUGGGUCGUAAAGCUCUGUCAACAAGGAAGAAAUUAUCAUUUAUUAAUAGUGGAUGGUAUUGACGGUACUUGUGGAGGAAGCGCCGGCUAACUCCGUGCCAGCAGGCCGCGGUAACACGGGGGGCGCAAGCGUUAUUCGGAAUUAUUGGGCGUAAAGGGCGCGCAGGCGGUCUUGUCAGUCAGGUGUGAAAGCCCGGGGCUCAACCCUGGAAGUGCACUUGAAACAGCAAGACUUGAAUACGGGAGAGGAAAGCGGAAUUCCUGGUGUAGAGGUGAAAUUCGUAGAUAUCAGGAGGAACACCGAUGGCGAAGGCAGCUUUCUGGACCGAUAUUGACGCUGAGGCGCGAAGGCGUGGGUAGCGAACGGGAUUAGAUACCCUCGUAGUC
rnacentral:rRNA from 1 species